rnacentral:tRNA from 1 species
CCUUAUACGAUGAUUACACUGAUGAGUGUCCACACAGAUUGAUGGUUUAUACAGUUUUAGAGAAAGAAUGUUCCCAAACAUUCGCCACUUAGUGUCCCGUUCGUCUAGAGGCCUAGGACACCGCCCUUUCACGGCGGUAACAGGGGUCCGACUCCCCUACGGGAUACCAUGGGUCGUUAGCUCAGUUGGUAGAGCAGUUGACUUUUAAUCAAUUGGUCGCAGGUUCGAAUCCUGCACGACCCACCAUUUCCUCCCACGGAAAUGCUUACUUUAGGUAAGAAAACAAUGUGGGCGAUUAGCUCAGUUGGGAGAGCACCUGCCUUACAAGCAGGGGGUCACUGGUUCGAGCCCGGUAUCGCCCACCACUCUCUAAGGAUUUUUGGAUGCACACUUCCAAACCAGAUUAAGUAAUUGAACUGGUUGGUUUGUUUGACGCUGAAAGUCAUUAGAAAGUGAUUCAUUCCUUUGGGAAUAACACUCGCUCUUUAACAAUUUGGAAAGCUGACUGAUAACAACGUGAUUUGUUGUUAUCAAAUAAAAGUUCUCAAUAUCAAUACGGUUACGUGUUGAUACCAAACACAUUCAAGUGUUCUUGGGAAAGCUUACUGCGGUAAGUUUUCAAAAUUGAGUCCGGCAAGAUCGAAAUGUCUCUCGCUCAUUCAAUAAAGAGAGACACUAAACCUUGGUGACUUGUCAUCAACACGAAACUUCUUCGGGUUGUAU